GGGUGGGGUUGUCUAAAUAUAGCCAGUGUUUAUAAUUCAUGAGACCUGGAACUACAGGGUUUUUUAUUUGUGAUCAGAGUAAGAGCAGAACAGAUCGGAGGAGCUGCGAUGAUUUUGGAUUUUGGUAAGUGUGUAUUUUGGAUCCUUUUGCGCGCUGUUGCAUUAUGUUGGGAGCUGUAGAGCCUAUUUUAUGCAGUUUUACAGGACUGUAACUACCCUACUAGUGUGCACGCUUAGGGUUACUACAUCUUAUUAAUAACUAAGUGAAAAGCGUCUCAGUUUAUGCGUCUUUGUUGUUGAUUAGUAGACACAUGAUGGACGCAUGAUUAGGACACACCAUCCCGGUUGAUCUAGUGCACUUCUGAGGUUUUAGUUCUCGACAGAGACUAUACAUUAGGCUAUGUUAUUCCAGCCCUGUUGUCUGAGCUAGUGGCCGUGAUGAGAGAGAGAGAGCUUGGAGAGAUAGAGGGAGAGAGAGGGAGGGGAGCCUGAGCCAACAGACGACAGGAGUUCUCUCUUUUAUACCACAAAUAUUAACAUGAAUGCUGAGUAUAUCUGUUCAUGAUUACAUUUUUUUUCUUUUAUUCAUAUCACGAGUCAUAUAUCAUCUCACAUAUGCUAUACAUACCCUUUACAGCAUUGUAUAGAAUUUUUAUUAGUUUAUAUAUAGCCAAUUC